UAUUCAUCAUGCCACCCUAUUUAUCCAAUCACAGCUGCCCCCUUAUUCACCCAAUCAUAGCCUUUACAAAUCCACGCUCAAUCUCCUCACACUUCACAUACCAAAGUGCAGCACAGUCUUAAGCCAUUAUACCACCACAAAGUUUCACUAUCCUCCUCAUCCCAUUUCACACAAAAUAAACCAUUUCACACAAAAUAAACAUUAGUGCAGAGCUCCUUCCACUAUUUUUUUUUUCAAUAACACAGCAUACACAGUCAGCUUAAGGAUCUUCAUCCCUGCGGAUCAUCACAAGGCUUCGUGGAUCGUGAGGAUUAGCACUGCUUUUCCGAUUCAGAGAUAAGAUUAAACGACAGGCAUUGCCUAUACAGGUUGAUGGCUGGUGUUGACGGGGAGAGCUGAGGCUAGGGUUCAACUCCGUGUUUUGACUUCCGCUGUAGUACUAGCCUUUAUUUGUCUUUCGUUUCCUUGACUUAAGACUUUUAUGUUAUGACUCUAAAUGAUAUCUUUUGAUGAGCUUA